UGUUAACGCUAACGUUUGACAGGUGAUGCUUUUUCUCUGAAGCUAGCUAGCGACAACUGAAAUAUCUUUUUUCCCCUUAUGUUAUUAGCGGAUUUGUUUCCUAAUGUAAGUUUCGUUGUGGGUUAUGAGUGCAAAGAAUAAAAUAAGGUUGCAUUUUACUGUUAAUAAGGUUCAUUAAGUGAUUAAACUCGUCACGUAGAGGCCUCAGAAGACAAACGACAAGAAUUGAAUGAAGAGCUAUAAGACAGACGGUGGAAGCAGCCAUUCCUCCUGAGCAUCUUGGUAUCUAGAGAUGAUCAUUUUUGCCUGGAGCCUCUGUCCACCCCCUCACAGGAUAGUGCUGCUGCCCGCCAGGCUCACAGGAGUACAGGCUGCCUCUUCUUUUUUGGGAGAUUGUCCCACUGGUCAACCUACUCAUGAGGUGAGGACGAGGACACCAACAUCAUCCAGGUGUCCCUUCGUCAGAUCAGGGGCUCUGUGCUGCAUGCUAAAGUGUUCACAUACACUGUGUUUGGAGAUGGCACACAGCAGGUCAUAGUUGAUAACCGGCGUGGCAUCCUGAGACUGUUCCCACCCGACUGGAGGCGACGCAGGGGGGGAGAUCAGGAACUGCUUAUCUGGCUUAGGAGGCUCCAGACGAGGACUUCCUAUGUGGACGGACUGGAGGCGGGACGGGGAAGAGACAGAGGGGCGCACACAUGAGCCACGGUGACAGGCUGAAGAUCUGGUGAGUCCAGCUUUCUUUAGACAAAGUGCUCACUCACAUCAAAUCAAAUUUAUGUGACUCAAACGGCUUCACAAGCUCACAUUUUAACACAGUGAAUGAAAAACAAGGAGAGGCGACUGGCAGCCCCCAGCCUCUCCCAAAAACCUCCUACGAAAACCUUGGGAAGAGCCUCACAGACAGCAGCACUGAUUUACUCUAUUACUCAGAGUCUAUUAAAUGCAUUGUUGGUGGUAAAGCACAAAGUGACUCAUGCACACCUGCUUAACCAGCUCAAAACUGCGAGUAACUAAACUCAUACCAAUUCAUUUGUAUGCUAAUUUGCAAUAAUACAAUUUUUACUUCCUUUUAUUAAUCUGAUAUAAGUUGAUGUUUCCAGUGGGGGACUGCUCAUUGGUUCAACGUCCGUUCAGAAACCCCAGUAGUCUGAAAAAUGUCCACUCCAUAAAUUUGGUUAAGUUUAGGCAGGGCUUUCCUCAGGUUAAGGUUAAAGGGUAAUAAGGGGGGAUGCAAAACCCGGCAUAACACCAGGCAGUCACUGAACUCAAGCAACUCCAGAGUGUGGAUUUUGGGAGCAGUGGGUGUUUUAAGAAUAACCGGGCAUUUAGUCCAAUGGGACAUGUUUCAGACUCUCUGGGUUUUAGAAUAAUGGGCCAUCAGAUGAAUGGCAUGGUUACCACAAAACCAACACACCACACCAAAAAAAUAAAUA